GAUGAACGCUGGCUACAGGCUUAACACAUGCAAGUCGAGGGGAAACGCCGGGGAAGCUUGCUUCCCCGGGCGUCGACCGGCGCACGGGUGAGUAACGCGUAUCCAACCUGCCUCUGACUGAGGUAUAACCCGUCGAAAGUCGGCCUAAUACCUCAUGGCAUCGUCUGCGGGUAUCCAACGACGAUUAAAGAUUUCAUCGGUCAGGGAUGGGGAAGCGUCAGAUUAGCUUGUUGGCGGGGUAACGGCCUACCAAGGCUACGAUCAGUAGGGGUUCGGAGAGGAAGGUGCCCCACAAUGGAACUGAGACACAGACCAAACUCCUACGGGAGGCAGCAGUGAGGAAUACUGGUCGAUGGGCGGGAGCCUAAAACAGCCAAGUAGCGUGCAGGAUUACGGCCCUCUGGGUAGUAAACUGCUUUUAGGCGGGGAUAAAGUGAGGGACGGGUCCUUGAUUGCAGGUACCGCAUGAAUAAGGACCGGCUAAUUCCGUG
rnacentral:rRNA from 1 species